rnacentral:rRNA from 1 species
CCUACGGGAGGCAGCAGUGAGGAAUAUUGGUCAAUGGGCGCGAGCCUGAACCAGCCAAGUCGCGUGAGGGAAGACGGCCCUACGGGUUGUAAACCUCUUUUGCCGGGGAGCAACGGGCGCCACGUGUGGUGCCACUGAGAGUACCCGGAGAAAAAGCAUCGGCUAAACCCGUGCCAGCAGCCGCGGUAAUACGGAGGAUGCGAGCGUUAUCGGGAUUUAUUGGGUUUAAAGGGUGCGUAGGCGGAGCGUUAAGUCAGUGGUCAAAUUGAGGGGCACAACCGCUUGCCGCCAUUGAAACUGGCGCUCUUGAGUGGAAGAGAGGUAUGCGGAAUGCGUGGUGUAGCGGUGAAAUGCAUAGAUAUCACGCAGAACCCCGAUUGCGAAGGCAGCAUGCCGGCUUCCUACUGACGCUGAGGCACGAAAGCGUGGGGAGCGAACAGGAUUAGAUACCCUGGUAGUC